rnacentral:rRNA from 1 species
GCCUACGGGGCGCAGCAGUAGGGAAUCUUCCACAAUGGACGAAAGUCUGAUGGAGCAACGCCGCGUGAGUGAAGAAGGGUUUCGGCUCGUAAAGCUCUGUUGGGAGUGAAGGAAGAUAGAGGGAGUAACUGGCCUUUAUUUGACGGUAAUUACUUAGAAAGUCACGGAUAACUACGUGCCAGCAGCCGCGGUAAUAAGUAGGUGGCGAGCGUUGUGCGGGUUUAUUGGGCGUAAAGCGAGUGCAGGCGGUUCAAUAAAGUUGAUGUGAA